UGAACUUUGCAGUCUUAUGCUCCUCGAAAGUAUGCUUUUAUCUACUCUGCUGUGGCAACUAUUGCCCCAAGUGCAGGUCCCUCCAGCUGAGUCAUCUUGCAAGCUAAAUUAAGCCUCACCAACCGAUCACCACGUACCAAUUAUUAGGAAACUAUUAGAACUAGGACAAAGGCACCGUCAGAUUCACAGGUGACUGCAUAAAGGGAUGCAGCAAAGAAGGGAGGAAGAUGAGCAAGGAUGCUAGCACGGACCCCUCCCCACUCCUUACAAGAUGGGAACGUUUGAUCUCUCCCACAGGAAAUCACAUCAUAAUGGCAAAUGGACCUGCAAUUACUGAAGAAAAUCACGUCAGGAGCAUGGCAAAGUUGACUACACUCGGAAAGGCGGUUCCUGGAGCUUUAACGGGCAUCGGUACAGGCAAGCCCUGCCCGUACCGUUCGCCCGUACCACCUGCGGCUGCGUUCCCGUGGUGAAACACUAUAAAAGUCAUGAAGGGAUCAACGCUGAAAAGAGAGCCAUUCGUCGCCAAACAGAGCCGCCAUCCACCAGAUACAUCUGGACCACACCGAAGGAUAUCCAUCACCAUAGUUCAUCCAUUCCAUCUCCCAUCUCCUCCAUAGCCAUAGCCAUCACCAUUGUAAUAGAUAUCUCCUUGAGAAUUGGCGACCAUUGUAAGAAUAUUGUGAUUUCAAUGUAAGUAUUUUGCACAA